rnacentral:rRNA from 1 species
AUGUGUCAUCCAGGAGUCAGCGUGGGGGUGUUCUUGUCCGUGUUCAUGUGCUUCUGGCUCUACCUGGGGCUCCAGAAGAGAAAGCUCAUCAAGGCAAAGCAGAGCUUCUUCGAGCACAACGGAGGCGUCAUCCCACAGCAGCAGAUGCGUGGCGCUGCCGGGGGAGGCGGUGCCGGGUUCAAGAUAUUCUCGGAAGAGGAGCUCAAGAAAGCGACCAACAACUUCGCCGUCGACCAGAUCCUCGGUCGCGGCGGGCACGGCAUUGUGUACAGAGGUGUUCUGGAGGACAAGACCAUUGUUGCCAUCAAGAAGUCCAAGAUGAUGGAGGCCACCGAGACCAAGGAGUUCGCGAGGGAGAUGCUCAUCCUCUCUCAGAUCAACCACCGGAAUGUCGUCAAGCUGCAGGGCUGCUGCCUCGAGGUGGAGGUGCCGAUGCUGGUCUACGAGUAUGUCUCCAACGGCACUCUCUACCACUACAUCCAUGGCGGUGAGGGCCCCGACACCAACAAGGCACUCGACACCCGCCUACGGAUAGCGGCGGAGUCGGCCGAGGCGCUGUCGUACAUGCACUUGUCGGCCUCGCCACCGAUCCUCCACGGCGAUGUCAAGACGGCCAACAUCUUGCUCGACGGCAGCCUCACCGCCAAAGUCUCUGACUUUGGGGCAUCGAAGCUAGAACCAAGUGACGAGGCUGAGAUUGCGACACUGGUGCAAGGCACCUGCGGGUACCUGGACCCAGAGUACCUCAUGACAUGCCAGCUGACGGACAAGAGUGAUGUGUACAGUUUUUGGCGUCCUUCUACUCGAGCUCUUGACAGGGAAGAAGGUGCUCUGCUUUGA